rnacentral:lncRNA from 1 species
AGAGAAUGUGGGACUGGUUGAUUUGUCCGUCCUGAUAAAGCAGCAUCUCCAUAGGUUUGGAUUUAUCAGGAGUGAGGUGAGAGUCAAAAAUUUUAAGUGAAAGUUAUCAUAAUAUUAAUAAAUAGAAAUGAUGAUGUAAUUAUUUUCUUUUACUGUAGAGGUAUCGUGUUGUUCAGUUCACAGAGUAUGACUGCAAGUUAAACCGGCG